UACGGAGGGGGCUAGCGUUGUUCGGAAUUACUGGGCGUAAAGCGCGCGUAGGCGGACCUGCAAGUCGGGGGUGAAAGCCCGAGGCUCAACCUCGGAACUGCCUUCGAUACUGCGGGUCUCGAGUCCGGGAGAGGUGCGUGGAAUUCCUAGUGUAGAGGUGAAAUUCGUAGAUAUUAGGAAGAACACCAGUGGCGAAAGGCGGCUCACUGGCCCGGUACUGACGCUGAGGCACGAAAGCGUGGGGAGCAAACAGG
rnacentral:rRNA from 1 species